AUUGAACGCUGGCGGCAGGCCUAACACAUGCAAGUCGAACGAGUGGCGGACGGGUGAGUAAUGUCUUGGAAACUGCCCGAUGGAGGGGUAUAAUUACUGGAAACGGUAGCUAAUACCGCAUACCAUCGGAUUUGCCCAGAUGGGAUUAGCUAGUCGAUGGGGUAACGUCUCACCUAGGCGACGCUCCCUAGCUGGUCUGAGAGGAUGACCAUCAACACUGGAACUGAGACACGGGCCAGAUUCCUACGGGAGGCAGCAGUUGGGAAGAUUGCACAAUGGGCGCAAGCCGGAUGGAGCCAUGCCGCGUGUAUGAAGAAGGCCUUAGGAUUGGAAAGUACUUUCAGCGAGGAGGCGUUACUCGCAGAAGAAGCACCGACUAACUCCGGGCCAGCAGCCGCGGUAAUAC
rnacentral:rRNA from 1 species